AAACACACCGCCCAUCCAAACUCA
rnacentral:siRNA from 1 species